GAUGAACGCUGGCGGCGUGCCUAAUACAUGCGAGUCGAGCGAACAGACGAGGAGCUUGCUCCUCUGACGUUAGCGGCGGACGGGUGAGUAACACGUGGAUAACCUACCUAUAAGACUGGGAUAACUUCGGGAAACCGGAGCUAAUACCGGAUAAUAUAUUGAACCGCAUGGUUCAAUAGUGAAAGACGGUUUUGCUGUCACUUAUAGAUGGAUCCGCGCCGCAUUAGCUAGUUGGUAAGGUAACGGCUUACCAAGGCAACGAUGCGUAGCCGACCUGAGAGGGUGAUCGGCCACACUGGAACUGAGACACGGUCCAGACCCCUACGGGAGGCAGCAGUAGGGAAUCUUCCGCAAUGGGCGAAAGCCUGACGGAGCAACGCCGCGUGAGUGAUGAAGGUCUUCGGAUCGUAAAACUCUGUUAUUAGGGAAGAACAAAUGUGUAAGUAACUAUGCACGUCUUGACGGUACCUAAUCAGAAAGCCACGGCUAACUACGUG
rnacentral:rRNA from 1 species